rnacentral:rRNA from 1 species
GAUGAACGCUAGCGGCGUGCAUAACACAUUCAAGUCGAACGGUGAAGUUUCUUCGGAAACGGAUCAGUGGCGGACGGGUGAGUAACGCGUGAGCAACCUGCCUGUUAAAGAGGGAUAACACAUGGAAACGUGUGCUAAUACCGCAUGAAGCAACGGAACCGCAUGAUUCUGUUGUUAAAGGGAUACCGAUAACAGAUGGGCUCGCGUUGGAUUAGGUAGUUGGUAGGGUAACGGCCUACCAAGCCGACGAUCCAUAGCCGAACUGAGAGGUUGAACGGCCACAUUGGAACUGAGAAACGGUCCAGACUCCUACGGGAGGCAGCAGUGGGGAAUAUUGGGCAAUGGGGGAAACCCUGACCCAGCAACGCCGCGUGAAGGAAGAAGGCUUUCGGGUUGUAAACUCUUUUAGCAGGGACGAAGGACGUGACGGUACCUGCAGAAAAAGCAACGGCUAACUACGUG